ACAGCACAAACUGAACAGGCCGGAGCCCCUUAUGCUCGGAGCCGGGUUACGAAAGUAACAGUGGUAUGACCCACGGGACAGUG
rnacentral:ncRNA from 1 species